GGUAAAUAAUAAUUGUUAUUAUAAUAAUACGGUUAGAAAAUGCUUUAUUUUUUAAGAAAAGAAAGUGUAUAUCUUUGCAAGAUUUUAUACUUGUAAAUAGUUAUUAUGGAAAGUGACGUGCCAUACAAAUCGAAAGUAGAGCUAAGAACCCAAGAUUUAAUGGUAUCUAGUGCAGAGAAAAUUUCAUUUAAGCGUUCUUCAUCUCGAUUGAAGAAAUAAACAAUUAUAAAAUAAUUGAAGAAUUAUUUCUAAAGAAGUAGAUCAAAAAAAUUAGUUAAGGCAAAAAUGGGUCAGAAAGAAAAGUAUAUCAACUUUAAUUCUUAUUAAGUUUAAUCUUUAAUUUCCGCCGAUUACUAAAAUUACCCAAAGAUAGCCUAAUUAUUAAAAUAUCCACAUCUUUCAGCAUUUCCAAGAAUUUCGACGAGAUUUACUCGAUUACUAAAAAGUUUACAAGAGACAUUAUCCCAAAGAGUUAGUGUAACUUUACAAUGCAUAGCAUUAAAGGGGUAGUGCCGAGGUCGCUUGCGGCCGAGGCUCUAGAAUUUAAUCUAUUACCGAGAUUUUAACAAAGAGUAAAGACUCUAUAAUUUACAGUGUUAAAAAGAUAGUGCCGAGGUCGCUUGCGACCGAGGCCCUAGAAUUGACUCCAUUAUUGAGAUAUAAACAGAAACUCCAUAAUUUACAGUGUUAAAAAGAUUGUGCCGAGGUCGCUUGCGGCCGAGGCCCUGAAAUGUACUCUAUAAACGAGAUAUUAACCGAGAUUCUAUAAUUUGCAGUGUUAAAGAGAUAGUGCCGAGGUCGCUUGCGGCCGAGGCUCUAGAAUUUAAUCUAUUAGCGAGAUUUUAACAAAGACUCUAUAAUUUACAGUGUUAAAAAGAUAGUGCCGAGGUCGCUUGCGGCCGAGGCCCUAGAAUUGACUCCAUUAUCGAGAUAUUAACAGAACUCCAUAAUUUAUAGUGUUAAAAAGAUUGUGCCGAGGUUGCUUGCGGCCGAGGCCCUGAAAUGUACUCUAUAAACGAGAUAUUAACCGAGAUUCUAUAAUUUGCAGUGUUAAAGAGAUAGUGGUCGAGGUCGCUUGCGGCCGAGACCCUGGAAUCUGUUCUAAUUCUAUUGAAGACAUAUGCGAAACUUUACAAUGUAUAGCGUUAAAGGGGUAAUGCCUAGGUAGCUUGCGGCCGAGGCCCUAGAAUUGACUCCAUUACCGAGAUAUUAACAGAAACUCCAUAAUUUACAGUGUUAAAAAGAUAGUGCCGAGGUCGCUUGCGGCCGAGGCCUGAAAUCUACUCUAUAAACGAGCUAUUAACCGAGAUUCUAUAGUUUGCAGUGUUAAAGAGAUAGUGCCGAGGUCGCUUGCGGCCGAGGCCCUGGAAUUUACUCCAUUGCCGAGAUAUUAAUAGAGACUCCAUAAUUUAUAGUGUUAAAAAGAUAGUGCCGAAGUCGCUUGCGGCCGAGGCCCUCGAAUUGAGUCCAUUAUCGAGAUAUUAACAGAAACUCUGUAAUUUACAGUGUUAAAAAGAUUGUGCCGAGGUUGCUUGCCGCCGAGGCCCUGAAAUGUACUCUAUAAAUGAGAUAUUAACCGAGAUUCUAUAAUUUGCAAUGUUAAAGAGAUAGUGCCGAGGUCGCUUGCGGCCGAGGCUCUAGAAUUAAAUCCUUUACCGAGAUUUUAAGAAAGACUAUAAUUUACUGUGUUAAAAAGAGAGUGCCGAGGUCGCUUCCGGCUCCGGCCCUGGAAUCUACUCUAUAAACGAGAUAUUAACCUAGACUCUAUAAUUUGCAGUGUUAAAGCGAUAGUGCCAAGGUCGCUUGCGGCCGAGACCCUGGAAUUUAUUCCAUUGCCGAGAUAUUAACAGAAACUCCAUAGUUUACAAUGUUAAAAAGAUUGUGCCGAGGUCGCUUGCGGCCGAGGCCCUGAAAUCUAUUCUAUAAACGAGAUAUUAACUGAGAUUCUACAAUUUGCAGUAUUAAAAAGAUAGUGCCGAGGUCGCUUGCGGCCGAGGCUCUAGAAUUUAAUUCAUUACCGAGAUAUUAAGAGAGACUUUAUAAUUUGCAAUGUUAAAAAAAUAGUGCCGAGGUCGCUUGCGGCCGAGACCCUGAAAUGUACUCUAUAAACGAGAUAUUAACCGAGAUUCUAUAAUUUGCAGUGUUAAAGAGAUAGUGUCGAGGUCGCUUGCGGCCGAGGUUCUAGAAUUAAAUCCUUUACCGAGAUUUUAACAAAGACUCUAUAAUUUGCAGUGUUAAAGCGAUAGUGCCAAGGUCGCUUGCGACCGAGGCCCUGGAAUUUACUCCAAUGCCGAGAUAUUAAUAGAGACUCUAUAAUUUCUAGUGUUAAAAAGAUGGUGCCGAGGUCGCUAGCGGCCGAGGCUCUAGAAUUUAAUCCAUUACCGAUAUUUUAAUAGAGACUCUAUAAUUUACAGUUUUAAAAAGAUAGUACCAAAGUCGCUUGCGGCCGAAGCCCUGAAAUUUACUCUAUAAACGAGAUAUUAACCGAGAUUCUAUAAUUUGCAGUGUUAAAAAGAUAGUGUCGAGGUCGCUUGUGGCCGAGGCCUUGGAAUCUACUUCAUUACCGAAAUAUUAUCCGA